CUGCAGAGGGAAGACGCAAUCGUCCCUUGACACGUUUUGGUUUGAUGACACGUGAAGGAGCCGUAAAGUGGCAAAAAGGAGCAUCUGACUGUAGCGUACAUACACAUAUAUGUAUAAAUAUUUAUUUCUGUAAACUUCUCCUUCAACCCUCAGCCCUUCUCUCAGUUGUUGUCAUGCAUUUUGCACUGGAUAUUAAUAAGCACAUUUUAACAGUGGUGAUGUCAUGAACUUGGGUGGAACCAAGCGGAUAUUAAUCACAGCUGAUGGUUGCUGUGUGACAGCCCACCUACAUUGAGUCCCACACACUGAGGCGAUAAUGAAAUUAUUGGAGCAUCUGUCUCUGUUUUCCUUCGCCCUCUGGCUCUUCUUGUUUUUAUUUUCUUCUAGUAAACAUUUGGGUGUGGACACAAACUCCCUGGUCAGUUUGUUAUUUUCCACUUUGGCCUCAUCCUUCUUCUUCUGUUCUGUAAUAUUUCCUUAUCCGUCGUUGAUCUGACUUCAGGCCUUUAAAGAGACCAAAUAAUGACAUUGAGGUUUGACGCCCUUCACUGAUUCAGGAUAAUCAACCACAGUUUCCUCUGUGUCUUAGGGACUUGAAAGAUGCCAAAGAACGUUUCUCGGUUUUUCAUCCCAGUCUGUAAACGUGGGGUUAAUAUGUUUUGAGGGAUGUUGUCUCGGCUCCUUUAUGACUUUUAUUUCUCUCGUUGGGAGCACUGCUGGGAUUUUUGGAAUGAAUAUUGAGGCGACCUGCUCUGCGUUCAUCUGCAGCCCUUUGAUGUGAAAAACCCCGUGGAGUCUUUGAGACGCUGCGUCUGUGUCUUCUGAAGAAGAAGUGCCACCAGCAAAGCAGCCAAUCUCUAAGUCUUUGUGUCAGAGUUCUUUUUUUUCUACCAACUUUUUUUUAAUAUACUGCAAAAAUGUGUGUGUGUGUGUGUUUGACUGGUGCCUCGCUGCUGUGUGAUGGCAGAAGUGUCGGAGUUAGGUCUGAUUCUCUGCCUAUGAUUGGUCAGAAUGGACUUUAGGAAAGCGUGGAUCAGGGUGGAAGAGCAUGAUCAAACAUCUGGACCUCACCCCUCCAACCUUAUCUCCACUGCUUUACUGUCCUCUCUGAACCCUCGUCUUUACCGUCAGUUACUGUGGGAUAACCAACUGCAGGUAUUUAAAACUUUUCUCCUUCUGCCCUUGCGCCCCUCCCCUCCUCCCCCUCUCCACCCGCCUCACUCUGUAGCUGAACCCCUACAGUUCUUCCUCCUCCAGCGUGAUAAAUAGUACAGUCAUCAGUAAUCUGAAUGAGGUGCUUGGCUUCAUUUAGUGAGCUGUAGCAGAUGCAGGUGCUUUGGCUCCGUCCUUCCUUCAUAAAUCUCCCCAGUGUUUGCCUAAAAGCUGUGUAGUUAACACAUUAAAUCUUGUUUAUAAUCAAACCUAAUCUGGCCCGUGAUGCAUUUUGGGUUGUUUCUUUUUUGCAGAAAAUUUCUGGCAGGUCCAUUAGUCACAUAGAGUCUGCCCAUGGACUUUAAUUUUAAACGCCUGAUUCAGUCCUCUUUAAACACAAUUUAUUAAGUUUUAGCUUCAUAAAUGACACUUUUAUGUGGAGUUGAACGGGUUUGGUACAAAGUUUAACUUGUGAAAAGUUGGUGUGCUUCCAACAACUGCAGAAAGAUCCACUGUAGGAAAAGAACAGUUGGUUUUCACCCUCAAACUGAGGCAUUUAAAGUUACCACUGAGCCACUGAAGUGGACCUGGGUCCAGAAGGUUUCAGGUUCAAGUCCACCAGCUGCCAAGUCACCACUGAGGUUCUCUGAUCAUGUCACCGUCCCCACUCUCUGCUCCCCCACUGUUCACUUUGGUGAUGGGUUAAAAGCAGAGGUCACAUCUGGUUGAGUGCAGUGGUGAGCUGUGAACACAAUGACAAGGAGUUGACUUU